rnacentral:lncRNA from 1 species
CUCCCGCAGGUGUGGUCUUGUCCUGGAGCUUUACAGCAUCACGGGAUCAUUGAGAUCUCAGUUGUGACCCGAGGCCAAAAUGGAAUUAUGUCUUGGAAUGCCAUAGCUGGCCGCUAUCAGAAGUCCCUUCUAUCCUGAAGAAUCUGGCUCUAGGUUUUUCUGACAAUGAGGACAGAAGCACAGCCUAGGCAGUGUGAACCGG